GUAGCUUGCUUGCCUUUGCCGGCGAGCGGCGGACGGGUGAGUAAUGCCUGGKGAUCUGCCCAGUCGAGGGGGAUAACAGUUGGAAACGACUGCUAAUACCGCAUACGCCCUACGGGGGAAAGGAGGGGACCUUCGGGCCUUUCGCGAUUGGAUGAACCCAGGUGGGAUUAGCUAGUUGGUGGGGUAAUGGCUCACCAAGGCGACNAUCCCUAGCUGGUCUGAGAGGAUGAUCAGCCACACUGGAACUGANACACGGUCCAGACUCCUACGGGAGGCAGCAGUGGGGAAUAUUGCACAAUGGGGGAAACCCUGAUGCAGCCAUGCCGCGUGUGUGAAGAAGGCCUUCGGGUUGUAAAGCACUUUCAGCGAGGAGGAAAGGUUGGCAGCUAAUAUCUGUCAGCUGUGACGUUACUCGCAGAAGAAGCACCGNCUAACUCCGUGCCAGCCGCCGCG
rnacentral:rRNA from 1 species